rnacentral:rRNA from 1 species
GGCGGCGUGCCUAAUGCAUGCAAGUCGAACGGAGCCGCUUUCGGGCGGUCACGUGGCGGACGGGUGAGGAACACGUGGGCGAUCUGCCCCGGGGCGGGGGAUAGCCCUCAGAAAUGAGGGGUAAUACCGCAUGUGGUGACCGAUUCACGGAUCGGCCACGAAAGGCGCAAGCCAGCCUGGGAGGAGCCUGCAGCGGAUUAGCUAGUUGGGGGGGUAACGGCCUCCCAAGGCGGUGAUCCGUAGCUGGUCUGAGAGGACGGCCAGCCACAGGGGAACUGAGACACGGUCCCCACUCCUACGGGAGGCAGCAGCAAGGAAUUUUCCGCAAUGGGCGCAAGCCUGACGGAGCAACGCCGCGUGGGGGAUGACGCUUUUCGGAGUGUAAACCCCCUUUCUCAGGGAUGAAGAACGUGACAGUACCUGAGGAAGAAGGCCCGGCUAACUACGUGCCAGCAGCCGCGGUAAUACGUAGGGGUCGAGCGUUGUCCGGAGUUACUGGGCGUAAAGCGCGCGCAGGCGGCGCGAUAAGACCGGCGUGAAAGCCCUCGGCUCAACCGGGGAGGGUCGUUGGUGACUGUCGCGCUUGAAGGCAGCAGGGGUGAGUGGAAUUUCCCGGUGUAGUGGUGAAAUGCGUAGAGAUCGGGAGGAACACCCGUGGCGAAGGCGGCUCACUGGGCUGACCUUGACGCUGAGGCGCGAAGGCGUGGGGAGCGAACGGGAUUAGAUACCCCGGUAGUCCACGCAGUAAACGAUGCCGACUAGGCGUGGGGGGACUUGACCCCUUCCGUGCCGGAGCAACGCGGUAAGUCGGCCGCCUGGGGAGUACGGCCGCAGCUAA